UGGGGAAUUGUUCACAAUGGGCGCAAGCCUGAUGACGCAACGCCGCGUGGGGGAUGAAGGUCUUCGGAUCGUAAACCCCUGUCGAGUGGGACGAAUAACUCACGAAUUAAUACCUCGUGGGAAUGACGGUACCGCUAAAGGAAGCCACGGCUAACUCUGUGCCAGCAGCCGCGGUAAUACAGAGGUGGCAAGCGUUGUUCGGAAUUACUGGGCGUAAAGGGCGCGUAGGCGGCCAUCUAAGUCAGACGUGAAAUCCCCGGGCUCAACCCGGGAACUGCGUCUGAUACUGGAGGGCUUGAAUCCGGGAGAGGGAUGCGGAAUUCCAGGUGUAGCGGUGAAAUGCGUAGAUAUCUGGAGGAACACCGGUGGCGAAGGCGGCAUCCUGGACCGGUAUUGACGCUGAGGCGCGAAAGCCAGGGGAGCAAACGGGAUUAGAUACCCCCGUAGUCCCUGAGCGGGCUGGCAAGGCGCAU
rnacentral:rRNA from 1 species